GGCGAGUUUCCCAAGCGGUCAAAGGGAGCUGACUGUAAAUCAGCCGCCGUCGUGCUUCGUAGGUUCGAAUCCUACACUCGCCA
rnacentral:tRNA from 1 species